GUCUCCGUGGUGUAAUGGUUAUAACGUCCGCCUUACACGCGGAAGGUUCCCGGUUCGAUCCCGGGCGGAAACA
rnacentral:tRNA from 1 species